ACGAACGCUGGCGGCGUGCUUAACACAUGCAAGUCGAACGGAAAGGCCUCUUUCGGGGGGUACUCGAGUGGCGAACGGGUGAGUAACACGUGAGUAACCUGCCCUUGACUUUGGGAUAACUUCAGGAAACUGGGGCUAAUACCGGAUAGGAGCUCCUGCUGCAUGGUGGGGGUUGGAAAGUUUCGGCGGUUGGGGAUGGACUCGCGGCUUAUCAGCUUGUUGGUGGGGUAGUGGCUUACCAAGGCUUUGACGGGUAGCCGGCCUGAGAGGGUGACCGGCCACAUUGGGACUGAGAUACGGCCCAGACUCCUACGGGAGGCAGCAGUGGGGAAUAUUGCACAAUGGGUGGAAGCCUGAUGCAGCGACGCCGUGUGCGGGAUGACGGCCUUCGGGUUGUAAACCGCUUUCGCUCAUGACGAAGCUUUGUGUGACGGUAGUGGGUAAAGAAGCACCGGCUAACUACGUG
rnacentral:rRNA from 1 species